CGGCACUCCAGAUGUUUUGGACUACACCUCCCAUUAUGCUUUUUCAGCAUUAUGGGUGUAAUAACAUUAGGGGGGAUGUAGUCCACAACAUCUGGAGUGCCG